rnacentral:tRNA from 1 species
GUUCUCGUAGCUCAGUUGGAACGAGCGCUUGCGUGACAUGCAAGAGGUCAUAGGUUCAAAUCCUAUCGAGAACA